GCCAGAACCACGAGUACAGGGUCCUGCUGGACGUCAAAUGCCGCCUGGAGCAGGAGAUCGCCACGUACCGCCGGCUCCUGGAGGGCGAGGACGCCCACAUGUCUUCCCACUACAUCUCGCAGUCUGUGAAAGAAGCACCUGUAACGACCCGCCAAAUCCGCACCAUCUUUGAGGAGGUGCAGGAUGGGAAGGUGAUUUCCUCCCGUGAGCAGAUCACCCAGUCUGCCCACUGAGGGGGCUGCGUGGUUUGCUGCAAACCUCGCAGAGCAGCGCAAAAGAAGGUUCCGGCUUGUGUGCUCUGGCUACGUAGGUCACGAAAAGCGUCGUCUCUUCUCAUCACACCCCCGCUUCCCUCACCCUUCUCUAAGCG
rnacentral:lncRNA from 1 species